rnacentral:rRNA from 1 species
GAACGACUCUCGGCAACGGAUAUCUCGGCUCUCGCAUCGAUGAAGAACGUAGCGAAAUGCGAUACUUGGUGUGAAUUGCAGAAUCCCGUGAACCAUCGAGUCUUUGAACGCAAGUUGCGCCCGAAGCCGUCAGGYUGAGGGCACGUCUGCCUGGGCGUCACG